rnacentral:rRNA from 1 species
UACGUAGGGGGCAAGCGUUGUCCGGAUUUAUUGGGCGUAAAGAGCGUGUAGGCGGCUAGGUAGGUCCGUUGUGAAAACUCGAGGCUCAACCUCGAGACGCCGAUGGAAACCAUCUAGCUAGAGUCCGGAAGAGGAGAGUGGAAUUCCUGGUGUAGCGGUGAAAUGCGCAGAUAUCAGGAAGAACACCCGUGGCUAAGGCGGCUCUGUAGUACGGUACUGACGCUGAGACGCGAAAGCGUGGGGAGCGAACAGG